rnacentral:rRNA from 1 species
GGCGCAAGCCUGAUGGAGCAACACCGCGUGAGUGAAGAAGGGUUUCGGCUCGUAAAGCUCUGUUGUUGGAGAAGAACGUGCGUGAGAGUAACUGUUCACGCAGUGACGGUAUUCAACCAGAAAGUCACGGCUAACUACGUGCC